GUUACAUGCCGCGUCUCUACUUCCACCCACCCCCAACUGUCUGCUGCUUCUGCCAGGUGCUGCUCGUUUGCCCAGCAUGGUCGUCUCUCCUGGGGUCUCUGCCAUUACCCAGCAUAACAGCUUUGCUGGGCACUGCCCCCCUCGUCGGCACCUUUACCAUCCACGGGCUUCCAGCAUCUCCAGCCAGACCCACCGUCAGUGCAUUGGAGUCACCCGGUACCAAAGCCUCGUUGGGACUCUGAAGUUCUAGAAUCCCAACCUGCAACGGCUGGAUGAGAAGAAGAGUUCAUUGGCUCACCACCCAUGGGAAGUAGAAAGAUACACUUGGAGUACAGAAAUGACAAGAGCUGGGAGUUUGACUGCCUUCCCAAACCUCCCUACUGCGUCUCUCCCCUCUGCUUCCCUUGGUGCCUUGGCUCUGUUUCCUACUUCACACUGAUCUCUCCCACAGGGUGGCAGAGGCCUUCGCCGCCUAGAAUGUUCCAGCCUUUGAGGGUAUUCCGGGUGGAGCCGGACACGUGCCCGGCCACUGUGACAGGCGGAGGUCCCAGGAGCCAGGUCCCGGUAGGGCAUUACUCCUCAGGCACAGGCCGUAGACACGCUCGGACUGACACAAGGCCUGUUGGUCUCUCCUGCCCUGCCCCCACCCCCAGCAGAGGCUGCCCGGGCAAGGGUCACCUCCCAGCCACAGGGUCCUCUUCUUCAGGGUUUGGAGCUCUGAUGUGUGCUCCCCAUCCCCACGGGGCUCUCUGCGGCCCCUGCCCCAGGUGGCCUCCAUUCCAGACUUGGCUGCUAUCGCCCCAUCCCUCACCUGGUCCCCACCCAUACUGGCUGGGUUAUGUACACUCUGUGUGCAGACGUGCAGGGAGGGGUGCGUAUACACAUGGGCUACGGGUCAUAUAUACACUGUGCAUAUAUAUAUACAUAUAUAUAUAUACAGCAUAUAUAUAUAUAUAUAUCUUUUUACAUUCAUAUAUAUAUGGUACAGAACAUUAACCUUCUACCAAAAACAGUUUUGUGACGUCACAUAUGGCCUCAGCUCUGAAAUCUUAACUCCAGGGCAAAUCCACGACUGAAAAAUGAGAGCUCGAUCCAAACUGGCAUGGGGACAAAGGGCAGGGCCCUUCUACGGCGGCAAGCAGCUGGGCCCCUUCCAGAUGUGUCCACUCAGCCUGGGAGACUGUUCCGGAUGCAUCUAUUCCAGACCUGUCCACAGAACUGGGCUCAUUUCUUGCAUCUGUCCAAGGGGUUGGUCCGUCCCAGAUGUUAGGUCCUCACAGCUGUUCGUCCAGAUCCCUCGGCCCUUCCAGAUGGCUAUCCACACGGGACCAGUCCAGACAUGGGCCAGAGUCUGGCCACCUUCCAGAUGUUUGUGCAUACAGCUGAGAAAGGCUUGGGGAGGGACCGGCCUCAUGCUGAGCCACGAAGCAGCAGCUUUGCAAAACUCCACACAGUAACCCCUGGAAAAGAAAGCAGGGAGGGAGCCUCUGACUGUUCUCCGUGAGCGUGUGCCUGGGUCUGUCCCCUGCUCGCCUCCGGUGUAAGGAGGGGAGUGACUUCUCACCACGUGGAAACUUCAUCUGAUGCUGCCACACCCCUCCCCCAUUCUGGGCCAUCACAGUCUGUCUGCCAAGUGCAUUGGGGAGGAAGCCGGGAUGUGCUCUUCUCGUUGAGACAGUCUUGGCCGUGAAGUGGGGGUGGGGAGGCCCUCCAACCCUCCAGAGACUCGGAGUCAGCUCACCUGCCAAGAGAGCCUUAUUCGCCUGGAGAGGCGCUCGCAGAGUAGGGCCGCCUGAUGGCAACAAAGCCGUCAGGGUUUUCUUAACUGUCCACAGCAGAGAGACCAGGAACGGGUCAAGGGGAGAGAGAGAGGAGGAUGGCUCAUCGUCCCAAAUCCCCAGGGUGGCUGGGGAGGGGUGGCCCCUCAGUUUGGCCAGGCUGAGCAGGCUGAGAGGAGGCACUGGCAUGGCAGGUGGGAGACGCGGGUGGAAGGCGG
ensembl:lncRNA